rnacentral:rRNA from 1 species
ACCGCCAGCUAAGGUCCCUAAUGUGUGCUAAGUGCAGAGAAGGAACUGAAGUCUCGAAGACAGCCAGGAUGUUGGCUUAGAAGCAGCCAUCAUUUAAAGAGUGCGUAACAGCUCACUGGUCGAGAGGCUUUGGGCCGAAAAUGAACGGGGCUCAAGUGCACAACCGAAGCUGCGGAUUGCAAGGAGUCGUUGGCUCCUUGCAGUGGUAGGGGAGCGUUCUGACUGGGUGAAGGGCUACGGUAACGAGGCCUGGACGGUUCAGAAGUGAUUAUGCCGGAAUGAGUAACGAUAAAGCAGGUGAGAAUCCUGCUCGCCGAAAACCUAAGGUUUCCUGGGCACGGUAAAUCCGCCCAGGGUUAGUCGGGUCCUAAGGCGAGGCCGAAAGGCGUAGUCGAUGGUCAACGGGUUAAUAUUCCCGUACUGCCAACUAGCGUUUGACCGAUGGGGUGACGCGGAAGUGAAGGUGAUCAGGCUGACAGAUGCCUGUCUAAGCCCGAGGGCGGUGUGUAGGCAAAUCCGCACACGGAAACCCGGAGGUGAAUGCGAGCGCACUAGCGCGAAGUCACUGGAUCAACCGCCUAGAAAAUCCUCUAGGGAGCUACGUUGGUAUCCGUACCAAAACUGACACAGGUAGGUGGGGUGAGAAUCCCAAGGCGCUCGAGAGAACUGCUGUUAAGGAACUCGGCAAAAUGACCCCGUAACUUCGGGAGAAGGGGUGCCCUUGAGAGUGUAGGCCUUCGCGGUCGAAGCUUUUGGGGGCCGCAGAGAAUUGGCCCAACCAACUGUUUACUAAAAACACAGGUCUAUGCUAACUCUUAACGAGGAUGUAUAUAGACUGACGCCUGCCCAAUGCCGGAAGGUUAAGGGGAGUGGUUAGCGUAAGCGAAGCUGCGAACUGAAGCCCCGGUGAAUGGCGGCCGUAACUAUGACGGUCCUAAGGUAGCGAAGUUCCUUGUCGGGUAAGUUCCGACCCGCACGAAAGGCGUAAUGAGUUGGGCACUGUCUCAACAGCAGACUCGGUGAAAUUGUAGUCGUGGUGAAGAUGCCACGUUCCCGCACCAAGACGGAAAGACCCCGUGAACCUUUACUGCAGCCUGAUAUUGGUGCUUGUUGUGUAGUGCGUAGCAUAGGUGGGAGGCGUCGAAGCGGAGCUUUCGGGUUCUGUGGAGCCAUUAGUGAAAUACCACUCUCUGCACAUUAGGUCUCUAACGCGUAUGUCUGAAUCGGCUGCGCGGACAGUUUCAGGUGGGUAGUUUGGCUGGGGCGGUCUCCUCCUAAAAGGUAACGGAGGAGCGCGAUGGUACACUCAGCGCGGUUAGCAAUCGCGCGUAGAGCGCAAGGGUAUAAGUGUGCCUGACUGCGAGAGAUAUAGCUCGAGCAGAUACGAAAGUAGGUCCUAGUGAUCCGGCGGAUUCCGAGUGGAAGGGCCGUCGCUCAUCAGAUAAAAGGUACUCCGGGGAUAACAGGCUGAUCUCCCCCAAGAGUUCAUAUCGACGGGGAGGUUUGGCACCUCGAUGUCGGCUCAUCGCAUCCUGGGGCUGAAGGCGGUCCCAAGGGUUUGGCUGUUCGCCAAUUAAAGCGGUACGUGAGCUGGGUUUAGACCGUCGUGAGACAGGUCGGUCCCUAUCUGGUGUGGGUGUAGGAUGAUUGAGGAGGUUUUCCCCUAGUACGAGAGGAUUGGGGAGGACGAACCGCUGGUGCUCCAGUUAUCACGCUAGUGGUACAGCUGGGUAGCUAAGUUCGGAACGGAUAAGCGCUGAAUGCAUCUAAGCGCGAAGCCUUCUCCAAGACGAGUCAUCCCUUAGAGUCCCCUGGGAGACUACCAGGUUGAUAGGCAGGCGGUGUAAGCACAGCAAUGUGUUCAGCUUACCUGUACUAAUCGGACCAUCGGCUUAAACAC